CUGCAGAGAAAAAAAAAUGUUUUCACUACAAGUAGAUAACGAACUUUGAAGAUAUUAUGUAAUUAUAAAACACAAGGGUCACAUAUUCUGAGUCUCCUAUAUGAUUAUAUCUCAUGAAAGGUUUCAAGGAAGGAUUUGAGAAGUCCUGAGAUGAUGGUUCUUUCCAAAGCUGUUAGACAGGAGCACAACAUAUGUUCCGCGUGGAUGCAUAAGGAAACAGAAUGAAUGAUGGAUGUUGCACAAUGCAGAUGUAUCCUUUUUUUUUUCUCUCACAUUAAUGCAUCUUCUUUGGCUAUAUUGAGCUCACAGAACAUGUUUGGAAGUCUUCAAAAAGGAAACCUUUCUUUCAGCAUUUCUUAAUCCAGGUGUGCAUCAGCAAAACAAUGUAAAUAAUCCACCUCAAAUAUUUCAGAGAGAGCCACAUUAACUACAGUGGCUACAUCAGCUGAAGUUGGAUGAUGAUCAAAUACUUGAACCUUAAACAUUUCAUGGGCUGCCACAUUAAAUACAGUGGCUACUAACACUUUAGGUGUAAAUUACUCAUGCAUCAUCAUUUUAUACUUCAUCCUAAAUUGAAUAAUAUCUCUGUGCCAAAUUUCCCAAUAUUAGAAUGCAUUAUGCUAUUCGAUAUACCUUUGGAUGCAAGGAAGCUCUAAAUCAACACGUGCAGUCAAUUAGCAGGUAGUUUCUAGAGUCAUUUUCAAAAUUCAUACGGAGAACAUUCUCAGAAUUAAUGGUGCUGGUUAUUUUGGUUUAUAAGAUAAAUAAAUGCAGAGUAGUCAAAGGAUCACAUCAUGGCAAAGGGAGUGAAUUCCCAUGGUGAGAAAAUCCAUUGUCCAGUCACAACUUGGAAAUUUAAAAGGAAGAACAAACAAUUAUUUCUUUAUAUGACUAGUAAAGAAUUGCAUGAUAAAGUGCAGAAACAAUAAUUAAAUAGUAUCUUAUUUUCAAUUUUCUCAAGCAUAUUGCAUGUCAGAGCAUGCAAUUCCUGUGUUUGGAAGACUUAUCUUAUGGGGCACAAAGAAAGUUCUGGAUUUUCUCUAUUUGGGUAGAGAUUAAUGUUUUGGAGCUUCAUUUUGAAGGCAUUCCCUAAAGUAUGGUUAAAGAGUUCUUCUGAAAUCUUCCUAGGAUUUGGAACCUUCUAUCCAAACACAACCUUAGGAACUUUAGCACCAGAUAUCAAAAGUGUCAACCAAAACUCACAGGAUCAGCAUGGAAAAAACCAUGAGAUAGAAUUUGUUCCAAGUAAGAUUCAACAGCAUAUCGGCCCAACCUCUUACGAUCAACACCCAAUUGAUCUAAAGCUUUUAUUUUGUUUAUUUUGAUCCCUGGGACAUAUUCCAUUGUCAGAACCUGUGGCGUUGUGUAUUCCCACAAAAUAGUCGGGACUUUGACAUAAUCCAUAUCUUUGAAAUUACU
rnacentral:misc_RNA from 1 species